rnacentral:sRNA from 10 species
UGAUACCAGAGUCAAAAGGUCUAAACCAACAUGAGCUUGCUCAUAAGUGGGUGAAUGACCUUAUGCUGCGCCCCAAUAUGAGCAUAAAAGUGGGAUGAUAAUCCCGUGAUGUGCAAAUAUUGGGGAGGAUUGUGGGAGUGCGCAGCACGAAACAAUCCAAAUACAUCG